AGAGUUUGAUCCUGGCUCAGAGCGAACGCUGGCGGCAGGCUUAACACAUGCAAGUCGAGCGCUCGCAGGUAUACGUGAGCGGCGGACGGGAGAGUAACACGCGUGAACGUACCCUUCGCUUCGCAAUAACCCAGGGAAACUUGGGCUAAGACCGGAUACGUCCGUAAGGAGAUAGAUGUAUCGUCGAAGGAGCGGCCCGCGUCCGAUUAGCUAGGUGGAGAGGCCAUGGCUCACCUAGGCGACGAUCGGGAGCUGGUCUGAGAGGAUGAUCAGCCUCACUGGGACUGAGACACGGGCCAGACUCCUACGGGAGGCAGCAGUGGGCAAUAUUGGACAAUGAGCGCGAGCCUGAUCCUGCCGUGCCGCGUGCGAGAUGAAGGCCUUAGGACUGUACAGCCCUUUCGGCGGGGAAGAUAAUGACGGUACGCGCAGAAGAAGCCCCGGCUAACUUCGUGCCAGCAGCCGCGGUAAUACGAAGGGGGCUAGCGUUGCUCGGAAUCACUGGGCGUAAAGCGCUCGUAGGCGGGUCCUUAAGUCAGGAGUGAAAUCUCUGAGCUCAACUCCAGAUCUGCCUUUGAUACUGAGGAUCUCGAGUUCGGGAGAGGUGAGUGGAACUGCGAGUGUAGAGGUGAAAUUCGUAGAUAUUCGCAAGAACACCAGUGGCGAAGGCGGCUCGCUGGCCCGCUACUGACGCUGAGGUGCGAAAGCUUGGGGAGCAAACAGGAUUAGAUACCCCAGUAGUCC
rnacentral:rRNA from 1 species